rnacentral:piRNA from 1 species
UGAGCAGCCGAGGACUGAAGAAGCGAGC